rnacentral:rRNA from 1 species
AGAGACAGCAGCCGCCGCGGUAACACGAAGGGUGCAAGCGUUACUCGGAAUUACUGGGCGUAAAGCGUGCGUAGGUGGUGGUUUAAGUCCGUUGUGAAAGCCCUGGGCUCAACCUGGGAAUUGCAGUGGAUACUGGGUCACUAGAGUGUGGUAGAGGAUAGUGGAAUUUCCGGUGUAGCAGUGAAAUGCGUAGAGAUCGGAAGGAACAUCUGUGGCGAAGGCGACUAUCUGGGCCAACACUGACACUGAGGCACGAAAGCGUGGGGAGCAAACAGGAUUAGAUACCCCCGUAGUCCCUGUCUCUUAUAC